AUUGAACGCUGGCGGCAGGCCUAACACAUGCAAGUCGAACGAGUGGCAGACGGGUGAGAAAUGUCUGGGAAACUGCCUGAUGGAGGGGGAUAACUACUGGAAACGGUAGCUAAUACCGCAUAACAUAAGAUGUGCCCAGAUGGGAUUAGCUGGUUGGUGGGGUAACGGCUCACCAAGGCGACGAUCCCUAGCUGGUCUGAUAGGAUGACCAGCCACACUGGAACUGAGACACGUUCCAGACUCCCACGGGAGGCAGCAGUGGGGAAUAUUGCACAAUGGGCGCAAGGCUGAUGCAGCCAUGCCGCGUGUGUGAAGAAGGCCUUCGGGUUGUAAAGUUCUUUCAGCGGGGAGGCGUUACCCGCAGAAGAAGCACCGGCUAACUCCGUGCCAGCAGCCGCGGUAAUAC
rnacentral:rRNA from 1 species